CAUGCAAGUCGAACGGACUCUUCGGGGUUAGUGGCAGACGGGUGAGUAACGCGUGGGAACCUACCUUUGGGUACGGAACAACAGUUGGAAACGACUGCUAAUACCGUAUGUGCCCUAUGGGGGAAAGAUUUAUCGCCUAAUGAUGGGCCCGCGUUGGAUUAGCUAGUUGGUGGGGUAAUGGCCUACCAAGGCGACGAUCCAUAGCUGGUCUGAGAGGAUGAUCAGCCACACUGGGACUGAGACACGGCCCAGACUCCUACGGGAGGCAGCAGUGGGGAAUAUUGGACAAUGGGGGCAACCCUGAUCCAGCCAUGCCGCGUGAGUGAUGAANGCCCUAGGGUUGUAAAGCUCUUUCAGCGAGGAAGAUAAUGACAUUGCUCGCAGAAGAAGCCCCGGCUAACUUCGUGCCUGCAGCCGAGGUAAUNCGAAGGGGGCUAGCGUUGUUCGGAAUCACUGGGCGUAAAGCGCACGUAGGCGGAUUGAUAAGUUAGGGGUGAAAUCCCGGGGCUCAACCUCGGAACUGCCUUUGAUACUGUCAGUCUUGAGUCCGAGAGAGGUGAGUGGAACUCCGAGUGUAGAGGUGAAAUUCGUAGAUAUUCGGAAGAACACCAGUGG
rnacentral:rRNA from 1 species